NCGGAUUUAGCUCAGUAGGGAGAGCGCCAGACUGAAGACAACUUCGGUCAAGAAAUCUGGAGGUCCUGUGUUUGAUCCACAGAAUUCGCA
rfam:Zygosaccharomyces bailii CLIB 213 genomic, scaffold06